rnacentral:rRNA from 1 species
AUGCUGAACUGGAAAGUAAAUAAAGAACUGGUGCAGCCACCACAGUUUGAGGCAGAGGUUCUAUGUUACCCAAAGCCAAAGAUUCUUUGUGAUUAUUUGUCAUGGAGACAAGCAGAAUGCCACAACAGAAACCAGUACAACACAUGCUUUUGGAUACUAGUGAAGUCCGGAAAAGGUGAAGGUGAAGAUGAAGUUCAUGAGAUACUGAAGGGAACAUUAUCAACGGACAAGAACGAUUUGCUCUUUCAGCGGUUUCGGAUAAACUACAACAACGACCCAGAGAUGUUCCAGAAGGGUUCGUGUACUUGCCAGCAAAAGGGCUCAAGUCGCUUCGUGAGAUGCAUUUCACACCUGACUCACCUCCCACGCCUAAAAUGUCUCCAGGUAAACGUUUUUCUGCUUGUCUAG